ACCUAAUAAUAAAUCCAAAUUUUGUAUUUUUCAUCCACAAAAUUCCCAAAUACCAAAAUUUUUGAUCUCUCAUUCUCCAAUUCACAAUUCUCAUCUGAAGCGACAGCUUCGAGAUUUACAAAAUUGAUCUGAAAUCUUCUUAGUUAUUGACUUUGUAAUCUCCAUCUCUGAUUCCUUCGUCCUCCGUGGAUUGCUAACCCUUUGUCACCACCUCAAGAAUCGAGAGAAUUUAAACGUUUGUUAUCAUUAUUUGCUUCUCAUUUCAACUCGAAUAUGUUUGAAAAAGGUCCUUCAAAGACAAGUAAAGUUCGUUGACCUACUUUAUUAAAAGAUGUAUGGAAUCUACCACCUAAAAAAGUUGUUGUGUCAUUUAAUAGUCGUAAUCAGUCAAUCGGAAAAGAGGGACGAAAACUGGUUAGCUUUCUAGGGAUAGUUGCUAGAACUCCAGAUUUGACACCGUCAAAUACAAAUGAUUGGAGAGUGUUCAUGACGAAGAAAAGACAAUAUUGGUGAAAUUUGUGAAGAAAAAGUUCUCUAUUCCAAUAUGCGGAGAAGAGUUCGUGAAAAAGUCAAUAGGGAAAAAAUGGAGGGACUAUAAAUGUGACUUGAAGGCGAUGUAUGUGACCAAAUAUAAGACCAAAGAUGCCUUGAUGAAAAAUAGACCAGCUCACAUACCAAGGGAUCAAUGGAAUAGUCUCGUUUCGUAUUGGCUUUCUGAAAAACACAGGAACUGAUGUUUUAUUUCUCAUCCUAGAAGCGUAGUCAAACAAAAGAAUCAGUAGAGCUAACCAAAAAAUGGCUCACACGGGUGGAUCCAAAAUCAUAGCAACCUUGAUGAAUGAACAGGACUUGAUGAAAGAGAAGUUGAGUAAUGAUGAGAUACUUGAGGAACAAUCUCAUGACAGUGUUGCCUGGGAAGGAGAUGUAUAUUCUCAAGUGUUGGGAAAAGAAAAAAGUGGUUUUUCAAUAGCUGAUGCUAGUGAACACAACGAUUCCUUCCAAAAAAUUGUAGGCCAUUUAUCAGGGAAUGAAAUAUAUGUCAUAGCUUGUGUGAUUUUUUCAGUAAUCUUGAAUUUUUUAUCAUAGAUUAGAGGUGUCAUAGGAUAGGCAAAACCUUCCCUAUCAGGGAUGUAGUUCAAGGGUCUAUUUACAAAUAUAUUUCCUUGAUAUACUAAAUUUUGAGGCUAUUGCCUUUGAUAUGUCACAUUGUAGUCCUUCUAGGUAACACUAGGCCUGUGGUUUUCUCUGCAAAAUCAUGUCUGUAAGUGUUCAAGAUGCUAUGUCCUGUGGGUUUCGUUUGAUUUUCUAAGUUCUAUUUAUUGUAUGUUGGAAGUUUGGAUUUUGAUAGUCAUGUGUCUGUUGGAGGAGGAGGGGAUGGCUCGUUCAAGUUGUUGUAUGGAUUGUUUUUCUCUGCAUAUCAUGCUUAAUAUAAUCUUGAUGCUAUGGCUUGUGGAAAACAUAACAGUAAA